rnacentral:rRNA from 1 species
AUUGAACGCUGGCGGCAUGCUUUACACAUGCAGGUCGAACGGCAGCGCGGGCUUCGGCCUGGCGGCGAGUGGCGAACGGGUGAGUAAUGCAUCGGAACGUGCCCAGUAGUGGGGGAUAGCCCGGCGAAAGCCGGAUUAAUACCGCAUACGACCUGAGGGUGAAAGCGGGGGACCGAAAGGCCUCGCGCUAUUGGAGCGGCCGAUGUCGGAUUAGCUAGUUGGUGGGGUAAAGGCUUACCAAGGCGACGAUCCGUAGCUGGUCUGAGAGGACGACCAGCCACCGGGGGAAGGGACCAGGGCCCAGGCCCCUCGGGGGGGGGGCGGGGGGGAAUUUGGGACAAGGGGGCCAACCCUGACCCGGCCAUCGCGGGGGGGGGAAGAAGGCUUUGGGGUUGAAAACCCUUUUUGUGGGGGAAAAAACCCUGGGGGCAAAUACCGGGGGGGAAGGGGGGUACCGAAAGAAGAAGACCCGGCUAACUACGGG